UGUCAAACAAGCUGUUCUAUUCCUCUCACACCUUCUCUGCUGUCUCUCUCAUACCCUCUGUGCUAUUCCUCUCACACCUUCUCUGCUGUCUCUCUCAUACCCUCUGUGCUAUUCCUCUCACACCUUCUCUGCUGUCUCUCAUACCCUCUGUGCUAUUCCUCUCACACCUUCUCUGCUGUCUCUCUCAUACCCUCUGUGCUAUUCCUCUCACACCUUCUCUGCUGUCUCUCAUACCCUCUGUGCUAUUCCUCUCACACCUUCUCUGCUGUCUCUCAUACCCUCUGUGCUAUUCCUCUCACACCUUCUCUGCUGUCUCUCUCACACCUUCUCUGCUGUCUCUCUCAUACCCUCUGUGCUAUUCCUCUCACACCUUCUCUGCUGUCUCUCUCAUACCCUCUGUGCUAUUCCUCUCACACCUUCUCUGCUGUCUCUCUCAUACCCUCUGUGCUAUUCCUCUCACACCUUCUCUGCUGUCUCUCUCAUACCCUCUGUGCUAUUCCUCUCACACCUUCUCUGCUGUCUCUCUCAUACCCUCUGUGCUAUUCCUCUCACACCUUCUCUGCUGUCUCUCUCAUACCCUCUGUGCUAUUCCUCUCACACCUUCUCUGCUGUCUCUCUCAUACCCUCUGUGCUAUUCCUCUCACACCUUCUCUGCUGUCUCUCUCAUACCCUCUGUGCUAUUCCUCUCACACCUUCUCUGCUGUCUCUCUCAUACCCUCUGUGCUAUUCCUCUCACACCUUCUCUGCUGUCUCUCUCAUACCCUCUGUGCUAUUCCUCUCACACCUUCUCUGCUGUCUCUCAUACCCUCUGUGCUAUUCCUCUCACACCUUCUCUGCUGUCUCUCUCAUACCCUCUGUGCUAUUCCUGUCACACCUUCUCUGCUGUCUCUCUCAUACCCUCUGUGCUAUUCCUCUCACACCUUCUCUGCUGUCUCUCUCAUACCCUCUGUGCUAUUCCUCUCACACCUUCUCUGCUGUCUCUCUCAUACCCUCUGUGCUAUUCCUCUCACACCUUCUCUGCUGUCUCUCAUACCCUCUGUGCUAUUCCUCUCACACCUUCUCUGCUGUCUCUCUCAUACCCUCUGUGCUAUUCCUGUCACACCUUCUCUGCUGUCUCUCUCAUACCCUCUGUGCUAUUCCUCUCACACCUUCUCUGCUGUCUCUCUCAUACCCUCUGUGCUAUUCCUCUCACACCUUCUCUGCUGUCUCUCUCAUACCCUCUGUGCUAUUCCUCUCACACCUUCUCUGCUGUCUCUCAUACCCUCUGUGCUAUUCCUGUCACACCUUCUCUGCUGUCUCUCUCAUACCCUCUGUGCUAUUCCUGUCACACCUUCUCUGCUGUCUCUCUCAUACCCUCUGUGCUAUUCCUGUCACACCUUCUCUGCUGUCUCUCUCAUACCCUCUGUGCUAUUCCUGUCACACCUUCUCUGCUGUCUCUCUCAUACCCUCUGUGCUAUUCCUCUCACACCUUCUCUGCUGUCUCUCAUACCCUCUGUGCUAUUCCUCUCACACCUUCUCUGCUGUCUCUCAUACCCUCUGUGCUAUUCCUCUCACACCUUCUCUGCUGUCUCUCACACCUUCUCUGCUGUCUCUCAUACCCUCUGUGCUAUCCCUCUCACACCUUCUCUGCUGUCUCUCUCAUACCCUCUGUGCUAUUCCUCUCACACCUUCUCUGCUGUCUCUCUCAUACCCUCUGUGCUAUUCCUCUCACACCUUCUCUGCUGUCUCUCUCAUACCCUCUGUGCUAUUCCUCUCACACCUUCUCUGCUGUCUCUCUCAUACCCUCUGUGCUAUUCCUCUCACACCUUCUCUGCUGUCUCUCUCAUACCCUCUGUGCUAUUCCUCUCACACCUUCUCUGCUGUCUCUCUCAUACCCUCUGUGCUAUUCCUCUCACACCUUCUCUGCUGUCUCUCUCAUACCCUCUGUGCUAUUCCUCUCACACCUUCUCUGCUGUCUCUCUCAUACCCUCUGUGCUAUUCCUCUCACACCUUCUCUGCUGUCUCUCUCAUACCCUCUGUGCUAUUCCUCUCACACCUUCUCUGCUGUCUCUCUCAUACCCUCUGUGCUAUUCCUCUCACACCUUCUCUGCUGUCUCUCUCAUACCCUCUGUGCUAUUCCUCUCACACCUUCUCUGCUGUCUCUCUCAUACCCUCUGUGCUAUUCCUCUCACACCUUCUCUGCUGUCUCUCUCAUACCCUCUGUGCUAUUCCUCUCACACCUUCUCUGCUGUCUCUCUCAUACCCUCUGUGCUAUUCCUCUCACACCUUCUCUGCUGUCUCUCUCAUACCCUCUGUGCUAUUCCUCUCACACCUUCUCUGCUGUCUCUCUCAUACCCUCUGUGCUAUUCCUCUCACACCUUCUCUGCUGUCUCUCUCAUACCCUCUGUGCUAUUCCUCUCACACCUUCUCUGCUGUCUCUCUCAUACCCUCUGUGCUAUUCCUCUCACACCUUCUCUGCUGUCUCUCUCAUACCCUCUGUGCUAUUCCUCUCACACCUUCUCUGCUGUCUCUCUCAUACCCUCUGUGCUAUUCCUCUCACACCUUCUCUGCUGUCUCUCUCAUACCCUCUGUGCUAUUCCUCUCACACCUUCUGCUGUCUCUCUCAUACCCUCUGUGCUAUUCCUCUCACACCUUCUCUGCUGUCUCUCUCAUACCCUUUGUGCUAUUCCUCUCACACCUUCUCUGCUGUCUCUCUCAUACCCUCUGUGCUAUUCCUCUCACACCUUCUCUGCUGUCUCUCUCAUACCCUCUGUGCUAUUCCUCUCACACCUUCUCUGCUGUCUCUCAUACCCUCUGUGCUAUUCCUCUCACACCUUCUCUGCUGUCUCUCUCAUACCCUCUGUGCUAUUCCUCUCACACCUUCUCUGCUGUCUCUCUCAUACCCUCUGUGCUAUUCCUCAAACACCUUCUCUGCUGUCUCUCUCAUACCCUCUGUGCUAUUCCUCUCACACCUUCUCUGCUGUCUCUCUCAUACCCUCUGUGCUAUUCCUCUCACACCUUCUCUUCUGUCUCUCUCAUACCCUCUGUGCUAUUCCUCUCACACCUUCUCUUCUGUCUCUCUCAUACCCUCUGUGCUAUUCCUCUCACACCUUCUCUGCUGUCUCUCUCAUACCCUCUGUGCUAUUCCUCUCGUACCUUCUGAUCUGUCCCUCUCUCAUACCCACUGUGCUGUGUCCCUGUCGUUGUGACCCUGAGCAAGGCAGUUCCCCGGGCGCCGAAGAUGUGGAUGCCGAUUUAAGGCAGCCCUCUGCACCUCUGAUUCAGAGGGGUUGGGUUAAAUGCGGAAGGCACGUUAACAGUUGA
ensembl:lncRNA